rnacentral:ncRNA from 45 species
AUUUUGCAGUCGGGAAAUGGUUUCGGGAGGUUUACGCCUUCCGAAUGAAAAGGGAACCCGGUGAAAAUCCGGGACAGUACCCGCUGCUGUGAGUCCACAAAAACGGACAUCGAACUUUUGCCACUGGUGUAAUACCGGGAAGGCACGAUGACCGGGACGAGUCAGAAGACCUGCCAUGACCGGAAUGAGAUUU